AUUCCACCUGGGGAGUACGCCGGCAACGGUGAAACUCAAAGGAAUUGACGGGGGCCCGCACAAGCGGAGGAACAUGUGGUUUAAUUCGAUGAUACGCGAGGAACCUUACCCGGGCUUAAAUUGCAACUGACUGAACCGGAAACGGUUCUUUCUUCGGACAGUUGUGAAGGUGCUGCAUGGUUGUCGUCAGCUCGUGCCGUGAGGUGUCGGCUUAAGUGCCAUAACGAGCGCAACCCUUAUCGAUAGUUACUAGCAGGUCAUGCUGAGGACUCUAUUGAGACUGCCGUCGUAAGAUGUGAGGAAGGUGGGGAUGACGUCAAAUCAGCACGGCCCUUACGUCCGGGGCUACACACGUGUUACAAUGGGGGGUACAGAAGGCAGCUACACGGCGACGUGGUGCUAAUCCCGAAAGCCUCUUUCAGUUCGGAUUGGAGUCUGCAACCCGACUCCAUGAAGCUGGAUUCGCUAGUAAUCGCGCAUCAGCCACGGCGCGGUGAAUACGUUCCCGGGCCUUGCACUAACGGCCCGUC
rnacentral:rRNA from 1 species